AAAUAACUUGUAAUUUUGUAUGUGCUUUUGUGUGUGUGUAUAAGGGUGCGAUCAAGGAGAGAAUUACUUUUAUUAUUAUCCAAGUUGAAAAACAGGGAAGAAAAAGUGAAACAGGGAGUGCGCGACAAGUCGUCGCGGGAUCCACUGUUUUGGAAUUUUUUUUUUCGGUUUUUGCUUUGUAUCGUUUUGGGGUAUUUUUUUUAUAUGUCUUAGAGAUUGUUUAGAGGUAAGUUUGAGUUUAUUUAUUUAAGUUGUGUUCCAUGCUUACGUGAUUCAGAUUCAAGUGUUUGGUUUCGAUCAUUCGUUUCGGUUAAAGUUUAAAUUCACUGUAUAUCGUAUUGAGGUGAGCUUUUCUUAUAACCAUUUUUUAAUUGAAAUGCAUAUAUCAUGAAAUGGUUAUUGUUUC